AGAGCGAACGCUGGCGGCAGGCCUAACACAUGCAAGUCGAGCGCUCCGCAAGGGGAGCGGCAGACGGGAGAGUAACACGUGGGAACGUACCCUUCAGUUCGGAACAACCCAGGGAAACUUGGGCUAAUACCGGAUACGUCCGUAAGGAGAAAGAUUUAUCGCUGAAGGAUCGGCCCGCGUCUGAUUAGCUAGUUGGUGAGGUAACGGCUCACCAAGGCGACGAUCAGUAGCUGGUCUGAGAGGAUGAUCAGCCUCACUGGGACUGAGACACGGCCCAGACUCCUACGGGAGGCAGCAGUGGGGAAUAUUGGACAAUGGGCGCAAGCCUGAUCCAGCCAUGCCGCGUGGGUGAUGAAGGCCCUAGGGUUGUAAAGCCCUUUCGGCGGGGAAGAUAAUGACGGUACCGCAGAAGAAGCCCCGGCUAACUUCGCGCCAGCAGCCGC
rnacentral:rRNA from 1 species